rnacentral:rRNA from 1 species
AUACGGAGGAUCCGAGCGUUAUCCGGAUUUAUUGGGUUUAAAGGGAGCGUAGGUGGACAGUUAAGUCAGUUGUGAAAGUUUGCGGCUCAACCGUAAAAUUGCAGUUGAUACUGGCUGUCUUGAGUACAGUAGAGGUGGGCGGAAUUCGUGGUGUAGCGGUGAAAUGCUUAGAUAUCACGAAGAACUCCGAUUGCGAAGGCAGCUCACUGGACUGCAACUGACACUGAUGCUCGAAAGUGUGGGUAUCAAACAGGAUUAGAUACCCUGGUAGUCCACACAGUAAACGAUGAAUACUCGCUGUUUGCGAUAUACAGUAAGCGGCCAAGCGAAAGCGUUGAGUAUUCCACCUGGGGAGUACGCCGGCAACGGUGAAACUCAAAUGAAUUGGCGGGG